GACAGAGGGUGCAACCGUUGUUCGGAAUUACUGGGCGUAAAGCGUGCGCAGGCGGUUUUGUAAGUCUGUCGUGAAAGCCCCGGGCUCAACCUGGGAAUUGCGAUGGAGACUGCAAGGCUUGAAUCUGGCAGAGGGGGGUAGAAUUCCACGUGUAGCAGUGAAAUGCGUAGAGAUGUGGAGGAACACCGAUGGCGAAGGCAGCCCCCUGGGUCAAGAUUGACGCUCAUGCACGAAAGCGUGGGGAGCAAACAGG
rnacentral:rRNA from 1 species